rnacentral:rRNA from 1 species
AGUAUGGGUAACCAUACUUGGCGGCGAGUGGCGGACGGGUGAGUAAUAUGUAGGAAUCUACCUAGAGGAGGGGGAUAACUUGGGGAAACUCAAGCUAAUACCACAUAAGCCCUAAGGGGGAAAGCAGGGGACCGCAAGGCCUUGCGCCUUAUGAUGAGCCUACAUCGGAUUAGCUAGUUGGUGGGGUAAAGGCCUACCAAGGCGACGAUCCGUAGCUGGUCUGAGAGGAUGAUCAGCCACACUGGGACUGAGACACGGCCCAGACUCCUACGGGAGGCAGCAGUGGGGAAUAUUGGACAAUGGGGGCAACCCUGAUCCAGCAAUGCCGCGUGUGUGAAGAAGGCCUUAGGGUUGUAAAGCACUUUCAGUAGGGAGGAAGGAUUAGAUGCUAAUACCAUUUAGUUUUGACGUUACCUACAGAAGAAGCACCGGCUAACUCUGUGCCAGCAGCCGCGGUAAUACAGAGGGUGCAAGCGUUAAUCGGAAUUACUGGGCGUAAAGGGUGUGUAGGUGGAUAUGUAAGUUAGAUGUGAAAUCCCCGGGCUUAACCUGGGAACUGCGUUUAAAACUGCAAAUCUAGAGUAAUGUAGAGGAUAGUGGAAUUUCCAGUGUAGCGGUGAAAUGCGUAGAUAUUGGGAAGGAACACCAGUGGCGAAGGCGA